rnacentral:rRNA from 1 species
AUUAAACGCUGGCGGCAUGCCUUACACAUGCAAGUCGAACGGCAGCACGGGGGCAACCCUGGUGGCGAGUGGCGAACGGGUGAGUAAAACAUCGGAACGUGCCCUGGAGUGGGGGAUAACGUAGCGAAAGUUACGCUAAUACCGCAUAUUCUGUGAGCAGGAAAGCAGGGGAUCGCAAGACCUUGCGCUCUGGGAGCGGCCGAUGUCGGAUUAGCUAGUUGGUGGGGUAAAGGCCUACCAAGGCGACGAUCCGUAGCGGGUCUGAGAGGAUGAUCCGCCACACUGGGACUGAGACACGGCCCAGACUCCUACGGGAGGCAGCAGUGGGGAAUUUUGGACAAUGGGCGAAAGUCUGAUCCAGCCAUGCCGCGUGAGUGAAGAAGGCCU